CACCUAACUGAAUGAGCCACCCAGAUGCCUCCCAAAAGUUUCUUAAUUCACUUGUGAAUAUGCACUGCCUCUGGCACUGAUUGCCUCUUCUUAUCAUCUAAGGUAGGACACUGCUGUUCCCCCACCCCUCCCCCCCACCACCCCGCCGCCAACAAUCUGAGAAUUCCCCGAAUUAACACAAUCGUCAGCGCAAUUAGACUCAUUUAAACUCAGGAGAGACAUGUUUUUCUCAUGAAGUAGUGGAAAAUAAAGUUAAUCCAAUUGCAGUCAGUUUUCAAAAGUCAAGAACUGAAAUGUCAAAGACAGGAAAAAAGUGUUAUCCCCAUGGCUACUGUGCUCUGAGCUAGGGAUGACUCAUGGGAGAUCAUGUGUGUGUGUGUACAUGUGUGUCUAUUAUCUCCAGAUCAUUAACAAAUUACUAGAACUAGAAACUUGGAAAUUACAACCAGAAAAUGUGGACUGAGAACUGAGAUUUGAGUUCUCUUUGGGUGGUUUUGAAAUUUUCUUGAAACAUGUACAGAAAUAAAAAUAAACUACAGACAUAAGGGUGCUUUUUCUUUUUCUUUUUUCUAGCUUUCUGGUUUCCACUUUGCCAUGAUUAAACUAUUCACAGGCAGGCUAGAAAGCUUUUCUGGAAAAUGAGCUUUAAAUUUCAAAAUGUGAAAUUUGUUAGAGGAUUAAGAUGGCCUAGCAGAGCACAAGGGACUGCAGCCCACUGAAAUUGCUCUCCAGGAUCACAGAUGCAGGAGAGAGCAGCAUGGCUGGAACAUGGGGCAGGAGGACAAGUAGGAAAAAGAACUAUGGAGAAGUGAAAAGGGGAGCCAAAAAUGGACAAGUGGCAUAUGUAUAAAUGGAAAAUGAAAGUGGGAUGGACUCGCAGAUGGAGUGUUUGGACUUCACAGUUGGGACUGCCGGAUGUGAGACCUCCCAAGAUUCCAGGACAAGCAAAGGGAUGAUUUCAUCCUUUACUAUACAUCCAGCCAUACACUGCUGGCUUGGAGCAUCCAGUGUGAAGCAAGAGACAAGAGACGUGUCCUCAUUCAAGGUUAAAAGUGAGGUCAAAGUCACCUUUCAAGCUGGAAUGGGAAGAGAACAGGAACUGGGGCUCAGAAGAUCUGGUUAUUACUUCUUUUUACUAGUUAAUCUAUGGCUUUGCGCAAUGGCAGAUUCAAAUUAA
rnacentral:lncRNA from 12 species